GAUGAACGCUGGCGGCGUGCCUAAUACAUGCAAGUCGAGCGAACAGACGAGGAGCUUGCUCCUCUGACGUUAGCGGCGGACGGGUGAGUAACACGUGGAUAACCUACCUAUAAGACUGGGAUAACUUCGGGAAACCGGAGCUAAUACCGGAUAAUAUAUUGAACCGCAUGGUUCAAUAGUGAAAGACGGUUUUGCUGUCACUUAUAGAUGGAUCCGCGCCGCAUUAGCUAGUUGGUAAGGUAACGGCUUACCAAGGCGACGAUGCGUAGCCGACCUGAGAGGGUGAUCGGCCACACUGGAACUGAGACACGGUCAAGACUACUACGGGAGGCAGCAGUAGGGAAUCUUCCGCAAUGGGCGAAAGCCUGACGGAGCAACGCCGCGUGAGUGAUGAAGGUCUUCGGAUCGUAAAACUCUGUUAUUAGGGAAGAACAAAUGUGUAAGUAACUAUGCACGUCUUGACGGUACCUAAUCAGAAAGCCACGGCUAACUACGUG
rnacentral:rRNA from 1 species